UACGUAGGGGGCAAGCGUUAUCCGGAUUUAUUGGGCGUAAAGAGCUCGUAGGCGGCCGAUCGCGUCGGAUGUGAAAGCUCGGGGCUCAACCCUGAGAGGCCAUUCGAUACGGAUCGGCUAGAGGUAGGUAGGGGAAAGUGGAAUUCCUGGUGUAGCGGUGAAAUGCGCAGAUAUCAGGAGGAACACCGGUGGCGAAGGCGGCUUUCUGGGCCUUACCUGACGCUGAGGAGCGAAAGCUGGGGGAGCAAACAGGAUUAGAUACCCCCGUAGUCC
rnacentral:rRNA from 1 species